rnacentral:tRNA from 1 species
GCCCCGUUGGCUCAGUGGUAAAGCGUGUCACUAGUACCCCUAUAAAUAGCUGUAUCAUGACAAGAUCACUGGUUCGAUUCCAGUACGGGGCA